rnacentral:rRNA from 1 species
AGAGUUUGAUCCUGGCUCAGGACGAACGCUGGCGGCGUGCUUAACACAUGCAAGUCACGGGGGUCCCUUUCGGGGGAUAACCGGCGAACGGGUGCGUAACACGUGAGCGACCUGCCCGCUUGUGGGGGAUAGCCGGCCCAACGGCCGGGUAAUACCGCAUACGCUGUGGGGCCCGCAUGGGCCUUUCAGGAAAGCAGUGAUGCGCAGGCGGAGGGGCUCGCGGCCUAUCAGCUCGUUGGCGGGGUAACGGCUCACCAAGGCCGCGAUCGGUAGCUGGUYUGAGAGGANCGGCCAGCCACACUGGCACUGACAUACGGGCCAGACUCCUACGGGAGGCAGCAGUGGGGAAUUUUGGGCAAUGGGCGAAAGCCUGACCCAGCAACGCCGCGUGAAGGAGGAAAUCCUUCGGGAUGUAAACUUCACAAGCAAGGGAAGAGCGCACAAGGGAUAACACCCUUUGUGCCCGACGGUACCUUGCGUAAGCCACGGCUAACUACGUGCCAGCAGCCGCGGUAAUACGUAGGGUGCAAGCGUUGUCCGGAAUUAUUGGGCGUAAAGAGCUCGUAGGCGGUUUGUUGCGUCGGCUGUGAAAUCCCGAGGCUCAACCUCGGGUCUGCAGUCGAUACGAGCAAACUAGAGUGUUGCAGGGGAGACUGGAAUUCCUGGUGUAGCGGUGAAAUGCGCAGAUAUCAGGAGGAACACCGGUGGCGAAGGCGGGUCUCUGGGCAACAACUGACGCUGAGGAGCGAAAGCGUGGGGAGCGAACAGGAUUAGAUACCCCAGUAGUCC